CCUACGGGGGGCAGCAGUGGGGAAUAUUGGACAAUGGGGGGAACCCUGAUCCAGCGACGCCGCGUGAGUGAAGAAGUAUUUCGGUAUGUAAAGCUCUAUCAGCAGGGAAGAAAGAAAUGACGGUACCUGACUAAGAAGCCCCGGCUAACUACGUGCCAGCAGCCGCGGUAAUACGUAGGGGGCAAGCGUUAUCCGGAUUUACUGGGUGUAAAGGGAGCGUAGACGGCGAUGCAAGUCUGAAGUGAAAGGCGGGGGCCCAACCCCCGGACUGCUUUGGAAACUGUAUGGCUGGAGUGCAGGAGAGGUAAGUGGAAUUCCUAGUGUAGCGAUGAAAUGCGUAGAGAUUAGGAGGAACACCAGUGGCGAAGGCAGCUUACCAAUCUAUAUCUGACGUUGAGGCACGAAAGCGUGGGGAGCAAACAGGAUUAGAUACCCUUGUAGUC
rnacentral:rRNA from 1 species